GACGAACGCUGGCGGCGUGCUUAACACAUGCAAGUCGAACGGAAAGGCCCUGCUUUUGUGGGGUGCUCGAGUGGCGAACGGGUGAGUAACACGUGAGUAACCUGCCCUUGACUUUGGGAUAACUUCAGGAAACUGGGGCUAAUACCGGAUAGGAGCUCCUGCUGCAUGGUGGGGGUUGGAAAGUUUCGGCGGUUGGGGAUGGACUCGCGGCUUAUCAGCUUGUUGGUGGGGUAGUGGCUUACCAAGGCUUUGACGGGUAGCCGGCCUGAGAGGGUGACCGGCCAACUGGGGACGGGGAAACGGCCCAAGCCCCAACGGGGGGCAGAAGGGGGGAAUAUGGCAAAAGGGGCGGAAGCCGGAUGCAGCAACCCGGGGGGGGGGAUGACGGCCUUCGGGUUGUAAACCGCUUUCGCCUGGGACGAAGGGGGGGUGACGGUAAUGGGUAAAGAAGCACCGGCUAACUACGG
rnacentral:rRNA from 1 species